rnacentral:tRNA from 1 species
UAUGUGGUGGGGUUGAGUGAUAUGCCCGUUAGGUUUUGGUCCUGGAGGUGAUUGGCCGGUUUAUCUUGAGCCAUCUUACAUAG